GGGGUUGUGGCUCAGUGGUAGAGUGCUUGCCUAGCAUGCAUGAGGCACUUGGUUCAAUCCUCAGCAUCA
rnacentral:tRNA from 1 species